rnacentral:rRNA from 1 species
AGCGAACGCUGGCGGCAGGCUUAACACAUGCAAGUCGAGCGGGCAUCUUCGGAUGUCAGCGGCAGACGGGUGAGUAACCCGUGGGAACGUACCCUUCGGUUCGGAACAACUCUGGGAAACUGGAGCUAAUACCGGAUACGCCCUUAUGGGGAAAGGUUUACUGCCGAAGGAUCGGCCCGCGUCUGAUUAGCUAGUUGGUGGGGUAACGGCCUACCAAGGCGACGAUCAGUAGCUGGUCUGAGAGGAUGAUCAGCCACACUGGGACUGAGACACGGCCCAGACUCCUACGGGAGGCAGCAGUGGGGAAUAUUGGACAAGGGGCGCAAGCCUGAUCCAGCCAUGCCGCGUGAGUGAUGAAGGCCUUAGGGUUGUAAAGCUCUUUUGUCCGGGACGAUAAUGACGGUACCGGAAGAAUAAGCCCCGGCUAACUUCGUG